rnacentral:sRNA from 1 species
CACACUACUCCAGGGCAAAAGGUGUGCUGAAAAUCUGCCUGGCUCCCCGAGCCAGUUAAUCACUGCCGCUCUCGAAUCACGGGGGAAUUAGUAGGUAUCCCAUGCCUAACACAUGAAGUGCAUGGGGGGAUAAAUGGGGAAUAUGGAAUUUCCGGGCUAGGCUAGAUCUCAUGGCUAGCCUAGGUGAUGGCGUUAGACAAGUAUAGCACUCUUGGUGGCAACAACAGUCUGUUCAAGAAAGACAGAUGAGAAGAGCAAAUUGGGUAAUAUCUCAAGCAGCUGAUAUGACUACCAUAGAAACCGACCAAAAGACGUCCAAAGAGGAAUGUGUAAUGUCGUCGCGAACUCAAAAGGUCGAAGUAAGGCUAUCAAUUCCAACUGAAUAGGACCAUGCUAAAACAAGAAAUGCCUUGCUGCUAUAAUACCACUCAGGUCAUAUUUCUUCGGAGCUUCUCAUAUCCACCAAUUUCUGCCAAUCCUUACACACACAUACGCGCUUCUUUGUUGUAUCGUUCAGGCUAUCCUAAGUUUCUGUCAGCGGC